rnacentral:rRNA from 1 species
GACGAACGCUGGCGGCGUGCUUAACACAUGCAAGUCGAACGGAAAGGCCCUGCUUGUGUGGGGUGCUCGAGUGGCGAACGGGGGAGUAACACGUGAGUAACCUGCCCUUGACUUUGGGAUAACUUCAGGAAACUGGGGCUAAUACCGGAUAGGAGCUCCCGCUGCAUGGUGGGGGGGGGAAAGUUUCGGCGGUUGGGGAUGGACUCGCGGCUUAUCAGCUUGUUGGUGGGGUAGUGGCUUACCAAGGCUUUGACGGGUAGCCGGCCUGGGAGGGUGACCGGCCACAUUGGGACUGAGAUACGGCCCAGACUCCUACGGGAGGCAGCAGUGGCGAAUAUUGCACAAUGGGCGGAAGCCUGAUGAAGAAACGCCGCGUGCGGGAUGACGGCCUUCGGGUUGUGAACCGCUUUCGCCUGUGACGAAGCGUGAGUGACGGUAAUGGGUAAAGAAGCACCGGCUAACUACGUG